rnacentral:rRNA from 1 species
CCUACGGGAGGCAGCAGUGGGGAAUAUUGCACAAUGGGGGAAACCCUGAUGCAGCGACGCCGCGUGAGUGAAGAAGUAAUUCGUUAUGUAAAGCUCUAUCAGCAGGGAAGAAAAGGACGGUACCUGAGUAAGAAGCACCGGCUAACUACGUGCCAGCAGCCGCGGUCAUACGUAGGGGGCAAGCGUUAUCCGGAUUUACUGGGGGGAAAGGGGACGUAGACGGCAGUGCAAGUCUAGAGUGAAAGGCGGGGGCUCAACCCCCGGACCGCUCUGGAAACUGUACGGCUGGAGUGCAGGAGAGGUAAGUGGAAUUCCUAGUGUAGCGGUGAAAUGCGUAGAUAUUAGGAGGAACACCAGUGGCGAAGGCGGCUUACUGGACUGUAACUGACGUUGAGGCUCGAAAGCGUGGGGAGCAAACAGGAUUAGAUACCCUUGUAGUC